UGCCUGGCGGCUUUAGCGCGGUGGUCCCACCUGACCCCAUGCCGAACUCAGAAGUGAAACGCCGUAGCGCCGAUGGUAGUGUGGGGUCUCCCCAUGUGAGAGUAGGACACUGCCAGGCAU
rnacentral:rRNA from 2 species